rnacentral:rRNA from 1 species
GUAGGUGGCAAGCGUUGUCCGGAAUUAUUGGGCGUAAAGCGCGCGCAGGCGGGUUCUUUAAGUCUGAUGUGAAAGCCCACGGGCUCAACCGUGGAGGGUCAUUGGAAACUGGAGAACUUGAGUACAGAAGAGGAAAGCGGAAUUCCACGUGUAGCGGUGAAAUGCGUAGAGAUGUGGAGGAACACCAGUGGCGAAGGCGGCUUUCUGGUCUGUAACUGACGCUGAGGCGCGAAAGCGUGGGGAGCAAACAGGAUUAGAUACCCUGGUAGUCCACGCCGUAAACGAAGAGUGCUAAGUGUUAGGGGGUUUCCGCCCCUUAGUGCUGCAGCUAACGCAUUAAGCACUCCGCCUGGGGAGUACGGCCGCAAGGCUG